UACAGAGGGUGCGAGCGUUAAUCGGAAUUACUGGGCGUAAAGCGUGCGUAGACGGUUAUUUAAGUCGGGUGUGAAAGCCCCGGGCUCAACCUGGGAAUUGCAUUCGAGACUGAAUAGCUAGGGUACGGUAGAGGGAAGCGGAAUUUCCGGUGUAGCGGUGAAAUGCGUAGGUAUCGGAAGGAACAUCAGUGGCGAAAGCGGCUUCCUGGACCAGUACCGACGUUCAGGCACGAAAGCGUGGGGAGCAAACAGG
rnacentral:rRNA from 1 species